GACGAACGCUGGCGGCGUGCUUAACGCAUGCAAGUCGAACGGAAAGGCCCUGCUUUUGUGGGGUGCUCGAGUGGCGAACGGGUGAGUAACACGUGAGUAACCUGCCCUUGACUUUGGGAUAACUUCAGGAAACUGGGGCUAAUACCGGAUAGGAGCUCCUGCUGCAUGGUGGGGGUUGGAAAGUUUCGGCGGUUGGGGAUGGACUCGCGGCUUAUCAGCUUGUUGGUGGGGUAGUGGCUUACCAAGGCUUUGACGGGUAGCCGGCCUGAGAGGGUGACCGACCACAUUGGGACUGAGAUACGGCCCAGACUCCUACGGGAGGCAGCAGUGGGGAAUAUUGCACAAUGGGCGGAAGCCUGAUGCAGCAACGCCGCGUGCGGGAUGACGGCCUUCGGGUUGUAAACCGCUUUCGCCUGUGACGAAGCGUGAGUGACGGUAAUGGGUAAAGAAGCACCGGCUAACUACGUG
rnacentral:rRNA from 1 species